CAGCUGACCUCCAUAUGUAGUUGUGGAGAACACAGGUUGCUGUCACACAUUCUCUGCAACAUGUGUAUGGAUCUCGAUGGCACGCCUGUAUAUCCUCCACUGAAGGGCUUCCCCACAACCAGGCGAGCUCGGGAUAGACAGCAGUUGAAGACCCUUCUCUCUUCUUUCUUCUGUCUUGGUGACUAGGAGAAGCUCAGAUGUUGAAGUAAGUUUCUAGAGUAAAACAGCUGCUCAGUUCGCAGAGAGAGUGAUCAGUGAUGUCCUAUUAUCCUUUGUAUGUAAUGACAGAACAAAAUGACAAGUAUAUUUGUUCUGCAGGAACAGAUGACAACAAAUGUAUAUUUUUGCUCUGUACCUUCUUCGUCCUCAGGGACCAAGAGAAGCUCAGGUGUUGGAAAGAGUGAGACAAAGGUUAGUUAGAGAGAAAGUCUUUGAAGAACAAGUAUUGCUGAUAUUAUAUCAGACUCAAAAACUCAUACUUACUUUUUUCCACUGGAGGAGGAGGAGGCAAACACAGCAGCUCAGGUACAAGAACGGACAAGAGGAUAUGGUUUGUUAGACUCACAAAUACUCUUUGAAUGAUCAUGAUAUCUAAAGUCUGCUAAUACCUUUUGUAAAUACUGAUAAAAUGUAUUUUUGCUAGAGCAACAAAAAAGAGCAGGAAUAAUUUAGUGUCUCUACAUUUUCAACUGCUGUUAACGGCACUCAUCAGUGUUUUUAAACCAGCAUUAUAAAAAGAGUUUCAGGUUUUUAACAACCAAUAUCACUUCUCUGCUCUUUGUUUAACCAGAUUUGAGACACCAGUACUAGCUUCGCUGAUUUUGAAAGCUGUUUUUAAAGGUUUCUUUAGAGUACGAAUCCAGGUAAAUGAACUCGGACUGACCUUCUUCGUCAUCAGUGACCAGGAGGAGCUCAGGAGAUCAUGUAAGACAAAAGUGAGAUCAGACAAAGAUCAGUCAGUGAGAAAGUCUUUAAACUAUUAUUCAAUAAUUGAUAAACAGAUUUAGAAGCUUAUACUUCCUCUGUGUCCUGGAGAAGUACGACAAAGAUCAGGUAGUGAGAAAGUCUUUAAACUAUUAUUCAAUAAAUAACAUUUCAUCUGAUUCAAAAGCUCAUACUUGUUGUGUGUGUAGAGGCACACAGCUGCUCAGGUGGGAAGGAGAAAUGAUAUUUAAGUGUUAGUAAAACUGGCAAACACUCUUUGAAUUAUAAUGACAACAAUAGGACAUAAAUGAUCGAAUGAUUUAUUGAAUAAAUAUAAAUAAUAUUCAUAUUAAGUGAUAUUUGAUCUGAUUCAAAAACUUGUAUUUAACUUUAUUCGUCCAUGCUGCAUGAAUGGGAGGAGCUCUCCAGAGCUGUCCUCUUUUGAUAGGUUUCUGUCUUGUGUCCUGUGUCUUCUCUCUUCUGUCUUCUGUUGCCGAAGGUUCCCGUCCUGUUUUAAACACUCUGUUGAACAGCCAGGCCUGCCAGACGCAAGUCCUACCUGAGGUGUCACCAGUCCAGUCAGAUGCCAAGACCGGCACUCAGGAUUCAAGAAUAUUCACUGCCACUGUAGGCUAUGUCCAA
rnacentral:lncRNA from 1 species